AACGAACGCUGGCGGCAGGCCUAACACAUGCAAGUCGAGCGAGAUCUUCGGGUCUAGCGGCGGACGGGUGAGUAACGCGUGGGAAUAUGCCUCUUGGUACGGAAUAGCCUCGGGAAACUGGGAGUAAUACCGUAUGUGCCCUUUGGGGGAAAGAUUUAUCGCCAAGAGAUUAGCUCGCGUUGGAUUAGGUAGUUGGUGGGGUAAUGGCCUACCAAGCCGACGAUCCAUAGCUGGUUUGAGAGGAUGAUCAGCCACACUGGGACUGAGACACGGCCCAGACUCCUACGGGAGGCAGCAGUGGGGAAUCUUAGACAAUGGGGGCAACCCUGAUCUAGCCAUGCCGCGUGAGUGAUGAAGGCCUUAGGGUUGUAAAGCUCUUUCAGCUGGGAAGAUAAUGACGGUACCAGCAGAAGAAGCCCCGGCUAACUCCGUG
rnacentral:rRNA from 1 species